rnacentral:tRNA from 1 species
CCCUGGUUAGCUCAGUCGGUAGAGCGCUCCACUGGAAAUGGAGAGGUCCCGGGUUCGAUACCCGGACCAGGCG